UUGUUCCUAGUUUAAUAAGAAUUCUAGUUUGUCGUAUUAGGGGUGUGUGGGCCACGGAAUGAG
rnacentral:tRNA from 1 species